GCUUGAAUAUGUUCGAAAUAUAAUACUCUCUUUUACAAUUUUCUUAUAUAGCCUAGCCAUUUUAAUAGGAUGGACAACCCAACCUCGUUAUACUUAAUAAAUAUAUUUGCUUCUUCUUGGACUACUAAAGUGUUCCUGCAAUGGGAGUAUUCUCUGGCUAGAGCACAGAACAGCGCAGUUUGCAUGGACAGAAGUGCAUGCCUGAGCUUGUAUUUUGGGUUAAGCUGCGUUGCUUUGACAUUGUGGAAAAUAAAAUAAUAGAAACAAAAUGUAUUAUCCUUUUUACCCGUUAUUAUCAAUCUAAAAGAAUCUACUGCGAAAUAUAGGAGACUGAGAUUUUACUGGGACGUCACGUCACAUGCCCCAGUUAAAACGCCCAUGAGUUGAACGUCAUUACCGUCACGAUUCAGCGAAAAGAAGACAAAAAUGCCGAAGACUUUAUCUGUGUGGGAGAACUUUAAAUUAAGUGAGGACAAGACAAAGGCAGAGUGUCAAAUAUGCAAUUUGAAACUGGCCUACCACAACAGCACAUCAAGCAUGAGAAAUCACCUGAGUUCUGUAAGUAGAACGAGCUGCUUUUAGCCGCCAUUUACACGUCAUAAAAAUGUGCACUUAAUUUUCAUGGAAAAUAACGUGACUUGCGAAUAGGCUACGGCAGUUAAUGACAAACAGUAAAAACGUAGCCUACUGUAGUAUAAGAGGACUGUCUCCUGCAAUAUUCAGCCACAAGAUUGCAGCUGCU